GUCAAUCGAAUGUCUGAUUGAAAUCAAUUUAAAAUGUACUUUAUAUUCAUUUGCACCCGUAAUAUUGAAAGCAUUAUUAUACACCCUUCAUAAUCGUGGUUGUUGUGUGCAAAUUCUGUUGUGGUAUCACUAUAGUAAAACUUAGUGACGUCCUUGAUCAUUUGGGAUUUAGGAGAACGUUAGCAGAGUUUGCUUGACAUUUUCAUCACCAAACAGAUCAUCCAUACUGCUUACAACUUAAAGAUGGGGAAUGUAUGUUGUAGUGGAAAAGGAGGUGGAAUGGGACCAAUAAAUAAAUUCUGUAAAUGUGGUGGACCACGACCGAAAUCUGGACAUUCUAGAAAAGGAAGUGGACAUUCUAGGAAAGGAAGUGGACAUUCUAGGAAAGGAUGUGGCAAGGGACGAAAAUCCCCUAAAGGAUCCCCUAGAGGGUCCCCUAAAGGGAGACGUAGGAGAGGAUCACACAGUAGUUAAUGAAUGGCGGCAUACAUGGAACUCUUCAAACAGUAUUAUGUAGAUGUGAAUUCAAAUAUGUAUUGAGACCCUUCUGUAUUUUUUUAAUGUAAUUCUUUUUACUAAUGGGAUGCUAUGAUCAAAUUAGUUAUAUAAUGCCGCACUUUAUAAUACAUUGUAAAUAUAAAGAAUGUAAAGAAAAAGACAAUAGGUUUCAAAUAUUUUAAAUUAUUGAAUGUAGUUGAGAUUUGAAAGUAUUUCAAAAUAAAUACAUACUAUUUUGAAUAAUAAAUAGGAUGUUUAUUA